GACGAACGCUGGCGGCGCGCUUAACACAUGCAAAUCGAGCGAGAACCGGCCUUCGGGCCGGGGAAAGCGGCGAACGGGUGAGUAACACGUGGGUAAUCUGCCCUCGGCACCGGGAUAGCCCGGGGGAACCCGGAUUAAUACCGGAUGGCCCUUUGAGUCCUCGGAUUCAAAGGAAAAGGUAGCUUCGGCCUCCGGCCGAGGAUGAGCCCGCGGCGGAUUAGCUUGUUGGUGGGGUAACGGCCACCAAGGCGACGAUCCGUAGCUGGUCUGAGAGGACGAUCAGCCACACUGGGACUGAGACACGGCCCAGACUCCUACGGGAGGCAGCAGUGGGGAAUCUUGCGCAAUGGGCGAAAGCCUGACGCAGCGACGCCGCGUGAGGGAAGAAGGCCUUCGGGUUGUAAACCUCUUUCAGGAGGGACGAAGCCACUCGGGUUAAUAGCCCAGAGGGUGACGGUACCUCCAGAAGAAGCCCCGGCUAACUACGUGCCAGCAGCCGCAGUAACAC
rnacentral:rRNA from 1 species